UACGAAGGGGGCUAGCGUUGCUCGGAAUGACUGGGCGUAAAGGGCGCGUAGGCGGAUGGCUUUGUCGGGCGUGAAAUUCCAGGGCUUAACCUUGGGGCUGCGUUCGAGACGGGUUGUCUUGAGUGGGGAAGAGGGUCGUGGAAUUCCCAGUGUAGAGGUGAAAUUCGUAGAUAUUGGGAAGAACACGGUAGCGAAGGCGGCGACCUGGUCCUUUACUGACGCUGAGGCGCGAAAGCGUGGGGAGCAAACAGG
rnacentral:rRNA from 1 species